ACGCUCGACACCUACUGGAGGCAGCAGUCGGGAAUAUUGCGCAAUGGAGGAAACUCUGACGCAGUGACGCCGCGUAUAGGAAGAAGGUUUUCGGAUUGUAAACUAUUGUCGUUAGGGAAGAGAAAGGACAGUACCUAAGGAGGAAGCUCCGGCUAACUACGUGCCCGCAGCCGCGGUAAUCUGAGCGGGCUGGCAAGGC
rnacentral:rRNA from 1 species